UACGGAGGGUGCGAGCGUUGUCCGGAAUCACUGGGCGUAAAGGGCGCGUAGGCGGCGCGGAAAGUCAACGGUGAAAGCUUGGGGCUCAACCCCGAGUCGGCCGUCGAUACUUCCGUGCUCGAGCACUGUAGAGGCAGGUGGAAUUCAUGGUGUAGCAGUGAAAUGCGUAGAUAUCAUGAGGAAUACCAGAGGCGAAGGCGGCUACCUGGACAAUUGCUGACGCUCAGGCACGAAAGCGUGGGGAGCAAACGGG
rnacentral:rRNA from 1 species